rnacentral:lncRNA from 1 species
AAAUUGUAUCAUGCAGAUGACAUAUUAGAUUUAAAAUAUAAAAAAUAAAGUUAUAAAUAAAAUUAGACAAAAUUCAUUUCUAUUUAUUAUUUACACUAAUACUUGGUUUUUCUUUAUCUUUUAUUUUUUAUCUCUUAUUUAUACUAAUACAUUUUUUUAUUUAAAAAAAAAAAAUCAAUUGGCCUACACACUAUAUUCCAAAAUUGAGAUAUAGGUUUAACUUUUUGGAGUUCUUUGUCUAUGGAUAGGUCAUGGUGAGUUGGCACAAUCACAACUCACUUUAAAGAAAAUGGAUUGGGUCGGGUCUGAAGUCGGGUCUUUUAAGACGGUGGUGUGGUUCGGAAAUUAUCACGUAAGGGACAGUAACUCUAAGGAAUUUUUUGCAAUAUAACCCAAUCAUCAAUAAAUAAAAAAUUAAAAAACUCUGGAACCUGACGAACACAAUAAAAGGAGCCACUCUUGCAGUUCCAAAUCCUUUUUCUUUCUUUCCGUUCUCCCUAAUCAAGGAUUCCUUCGUGUUGUGUUCCGUGUUAAUGGUUUAUUGUAAGUUCUCUCCCUCCUCUUUGUAAUAUCUCUUAUUCAAUUGCUUAAUGCUUUCAUUUUCGUAUUCCUUUGAUCUUCCGAUUUUAUCUUGGGAUCUUUCCGCNCACAAUUUCUUUUAUUCCACAGUUUUUUCAUGCAAAUGGGAAUUCGGGAACAAUCAAUUAAUUGUAUAAUGUUUUUAACUUUCGAUUUUUAUUUUCCAUUCUGUCCAUUGUGCUUCUUUGAACCCUAAUUUUAGUUUUGCUGAAGAGAGUUUUUAAUGUUAGGUUGUAUCUUAUGGGAUUGGUUACUUUUCUCAUUUCUCAAUUAACUUUGUUUUUGUGUGAUUGUAACCGACAGAACAAUUAUUCUAGGAAAUACUUGUUGCAAUUGGUUAUUCUGCAGUUGUCAUUGAAAACAACUGAUACGCUCCAGUCCGUGGAAGCAGCAGCAGAAUCCAUGAAACUCUUGAAUCUGGUUUGAUCGGCAGCGGAUGAAUGUGGAAGCAAGUAUGGAGGCAGUGCUUAUAUGGAUGAUAGCUAGCUCAGAAGGCUCUCCAGGGUUGGAAAGAAGCUAGAGGGAAAAUGAAGGAAGCACAGGCAAGUGACUUUCGAAGAGAGAAAGGCUGGAAAAGCUUUCAGCUGAAUUCAUUCUCAAGGUUCAAAAGUGAUGGUAUAUGCUAAUACAAGCAAUUUAUAGCCAAAAUGUGUAGCCUAUGAAUGGUGCUGAUUAAAACUAGAUAAACACAGAUUUCAACACGUGGCAGUGGUGUGGAAUAUGCGUGGAAGUGCAGCAGCAAACGGUUGCUGCCAAAACACGUUUCUGAUGCAGCGUGUAAGCAUGUGCAUUUCUUGAGACAACUCCAAUCUUGCUAAACUCACCCCUCCCUUGUGGAAAAGACACUUUUGUCCUUCUUCUGGUUUAGUGGACUAUUUAUUUGAGCUUGGGCCCCACGUAUCAUCCCCUCCCUCUUGGAAAGGAUUUGACCUCAAAUCUGAUGAUUCAUCUGAGGACUUAUUUUUGUAAGCUCCAUACAAGUUCCUCCUGGAUCAAAGAUUAAUCUGCAAUAAGUAUCAAACAUAUUUCUGAUUAGUUUUCUAUGACCCAACAAAAUAUGUGAAAGAACAUGUGUAGAAGAAGGUUUCUUAAUUUUAAAAUGUUCAAGUUUAAUACUAUGAAUAAACCUUUCUUCUUUUGAAAUUUCAUUUGUUUCUUGAGUUAGUGGUACCAUAAAGGUAACCCUAACUCAAGUUGUGAAUUGCCAUGUAUUGAAAGUUUUUUCAUUUUUAAAGAUGGCAUGGCAAAUUUUUGGAGAGAAAAGUGAGAUUUUGGACUUUCAAAAAUAAAUGAAGAAAAGUGAAAGGAUAGAAAACCUUUCCUUAAUAGUUUUGAUUCCAUCGUGGUUGGAGGAGAUAUUGCUCUUAGUUGCUUUUGUGCACUUUCUUUCACUUCUUUUCUUUCAAUUUCUUCUUUGUCUUUCUAUUUCUUUUUCUUUUAUUCUCUCUUCCGCUUUUCUUCUCUCUUCUUCUCUUUCCUCUUCCUCUCUUUUUCUUCUCUCUUCUUCUCUUUCCUUUCUUUCUUCAUCUUCUCUCCUUUCCCUCUCUCUUCUUUCUUUCUCUAUUCUCUCCUUGUCUUUU